rnacentral:rRNA from 1 species
GCGGUCGUUUGACUGCUAGGCAAUGUGGUGUUCAGGUUUUCUCUUGGCAUAACUGCUCCAUCCUAAGUCCAGCACUGAGUAUGGCAUCUGGAAUGGCCCAUGGAGGGUGAAAGGCCCGUGGGGGUGGAGAUCAAGUCGGCCAGUUUUGCCCUGAGUAAACCUUGGAGUCGGGUUGUUUGUGAAUGCAGCCCAAAGUGGGUGGUAAACUCCAUCCAAGGCUAAAUACUAGCACGAGUCCGAUAGCGAACAAGUACCGUGAGGGAAAGUUGAAAAGUACUUUGAAGAGAGAGUAAACAGUGCGUGAAACCGCUCAGAGGUAAACGGGUGGAGUUGAACUGUAAGCUCCGGGGAUUCAGCUGGUGAGUGUGUCAUGAGCUUGGUCAUUUUCGGCCGGCCUCUAGAGUCCGCUUAGCUGCGGGUCCUUGCUUCUUCGGGAGUGAGGGUGCGCGUCGCACUUGUCAAGUGCUGUGCGCUCUGGGGGUUGCCGGGCUGGCUCGCCGGUGCACUUUCUCGGAGUGGUCACCACGACCGGCGUUGUUGUCUUGCUGCUGUAGUCGAACCGGUCAGGUUUGGUCCUUGUGGCUGAAUUUGAUCGGGAUGGCAGGUAGCUCAUUGGUUGGCUUGUCCAGUCUUUGGGUGUAAUCAGCUGGCUGCAGUAGUAGUGUGCAAUACGUCGGAGACGGCGGCUCGAGGUAUUUGCUUAUGUGCUGUUGGCUGGCGGUGUCGGGUUUGAUUGGCGUGUUUACCUGCUUCGGCAGGUCCGCUGGUAGCUCGGUGCCGUUCGGUUGGCGGUUGCAUUUGUGAUACCGCUCAUGGGCCCAUAGUCUGUGGUGUAGCAGCAAAC